AUUUAUUUUUGUGUUGUUUUUUUCAACAAUUUUACAGUAACACGGCCAUCACUUUUCCACUCUUUUGGAUGAGUUUAGCCUACUGUAUAUAGGGCUUUAAAAUGGCCUUAAAAAUUCAGUCAGCUGCAGAAAAGUGUUUAUUCUCUUUAUAGCCUACAUUCAGAGACUGGACCGAUGGACUAUAACUUGGCUGGUGGACAAGUGUAUAGGGAUACUGUAGGUGUGUUCCAAUUCAAAAGAAAGAAUUACAGACUAUUUAGGCCAAAGUAGGGGUUGACAAAAUCAGGUACAGUGGGUUAUUUAACAGUCCAGUAGCAUUUUAACAAAGAAAUAAUGUUGAAAUGAAACACUGCUUUUCACUGUAUGAAUUAAAUAAACACACUGAUUUAAAAUAAAGAUACAGAACUUCUUUAGUCAAGAGCACUUCAUGAUUUUGUAUUUUGUUGGUUUAUUAAAAUUGACGACAAAAAACAGCAGCAGGUUUUUAGUCUACAGUAUAUGUAAGGGAUAAUGUAAAGCAGCCGGAGAAUAUAAGCCUCGGCAGUGUGAUCAGGACACGACGCGAAGCAAAGGGUCUUCUUGUAUCACACUGAAGGGGUUUGUUGUUCCGCUAUAACAACAGUCACGUUAAUUCACUGAUCUGAUAUAGUGAUACAUAUCCGACUGUUCACUUUCACUUAAAACAUAACGGACUGUUUUCAUGUGUUUUUGACAUCAACACAUCUCAACACCCAUUGACUACCAUAGUAGGAAAAAACAAUGGUUGUCAAAAGUACCCCAGAACCAUUUGCUGUCCUACAUUCCUCAAAAAAAUGAUAAAGUUUUUUUCCUACAAUGGGAGUCAAUGGGUGUUGAGAUCUGUUUGGUUAUAAGCAUUAUUCCAAAUAUCUUUCUCUGUGUUCCUCAGAACAAAGAAAUUUAUACACAUUUGGAACAACUCGAAGGAUUAUUUACGUUGGGUCGUGUUUGCAGAGAUGGCCAGAACAUGCAAAUUAUGCAGGCACAGCAAGUCAAGAUACCAUUCUACUGGCCGAGGUAUUUGCAAAUCAUUGACAUGAACUAACAUACAACACAGAAAGGGAAAGUCUCAUUUAAAAAACGUUUAUUUACAUAAAAUGUUAAUUCUGCGAACUUUGACAAAAAACUUAAAAGUUAAAUAUUUGCAUGAGCUCAUCACGGUUAUAAUAUGACUAUUCUAAAUAGACUGACAGCAACCCACCUCAAGUGGUCCAAACGCAAAGACCAAAGCAAAUAUUAAAUUCAAGAAGUGUGACCAGGGUCAUACAGGUUUGUUUUUCCUCUCUCACAUUGGCUACAGAACAGACUGGACAUGCAGGAACACAAAAAAAGACUCUUCGCCUCCAUGACUCCUGGUUUGUAACAAGCAGAGAUAAAACAGCAAAUUUACAUGCAUUUACAGCUUUUUUUCUCCUGACCAAUGAACAAAAUGAGUAGUCUGAGUGUAACAGGAAUGACAUUGGGGAGCUGACAAAAGACAAAAUGUGGCAAAGUUUCACUUUACAAACAUAAGAGCCAUUUCUUUCACUUUAUAACAGUUCAGAGUUCAAGUGUUGAUCAAGUUCCUCAGUGAAAGAAACAUGUAAAUAGUAGACUAUUUUGUGCUUCAAAGACAGUACUGUAUCUCUAGCCUAAACUAACCAUCAACAAGUGCCCCACCCUCUAUUGUAAUUUGCUUUUUCUUCAUUAUGUUGGAAUUGUAGUACCACAAGAUUUACCUUGCUUGUAACAGAAAGAACUGUCAAGAUUUGUGCUUUUAAGAAUCGUUCUCAGUCAUGUUAUGAAUUUUAUCAUUAGCUUAGUUUCCCUUGAUUUUUGUUUGGAAC